AUGCUCAAAAUUCUCCAAGCCAGGCUUCAGCAAUACGUGAACCGUGAGCUCCCUGAUGUUCAAGCUGGUUUUAGAAAAGGCAGAGGAACCAGAGAUCAAAUUGCCAACAUCUGCUGGAUCAUGGAAAAAGCAAGAGAGUUCCAGAAAAACAUCUAUUUCUGCUUUACUGACUAUGUCAAAGCCUUUGACUGUGUGGAUCCCAAGAAACUGUGGAAAAUUCUGAAAGAGAUGGGAAUACCAGACCACCUAACCUGCCUCCUGAGAAAUCUGUAUGCAGGUCAGGAAGCAACAGUUAAAACUGGACAUGGAACAACAGACUGGUUCCAAAUAGGAAAAGGAGUACGUCAAGGCUGUAUAUUGUCACUGUGCUUAUUUAACUUCUAUGCAGAGUACAUCAUGAGAAACGCUGGACUGGAAGAAACACAAGCUGGAACCAAGAUUGCCGGGAGAAAUAUCAAGAACCUCAGAUAUGCAGAUGACACCACCCUUAUGGCAGAAAGUGAAGAGGAACUCAAAAGCCUCUUGAUGAAAGUGAAAGAGGAGAGCAAAAAAGUUGGCUUAAAGCUCUACAUUCAGAAAACGAAGAUCAUGGCAUCUGGUCCCAUCACUUCAUGGGAAAUAGAUGGGGAAACAGUGGAAACAGUGUCAGACUUUGUUUUUUUGGGCUCCAAAAUCACAGCAGAUGGUGAUUGCAGCCAUGAAAUUAAAAGACACUUACUCUUUGCAAGAAAAGUUAUGACCAACUUAGAUAGUAUAUUCAAAAGCAGAGACAUUACUUUGCUGACUAAGGUCCGUCUAGUCAAGGCUAUGAUUUUUCCUGUGGUCAUGUAUGGAUGUGAGAGUUGGACUGUGAAGAAGGCUGAGCGCCGAAGAAUUGAUGCUUUUGAACUGUGGGGUUGGAGAAGACUCUUGAGAGUCCAUUGGACUGCAAGGAGAUCCAACCAGUCCAUUCUGAAGGAGAUCAGCCCUGGGAUUUCUUUGGAAGGAAUGAUGCUAAAGCUGAAACUCCAGUACUUUGGCCACCUCAUGCGAAGAGUUGACUCAUUGGAAAAGACUCUGAUGGUGGGAGGGAUUGGGGGCAGGAGGAGAAGGGGAUGA
rnacentral:lncRNA from 1 species